CCGCAGGAGGGCGAGAGCGAGGGCCCGGAGCUGUCCGACUGGGAGAAGUACGCCGCGGAGGAGUACGACCUCCUGGUGGCCGAGGAGGCCGCGGGGGAGCCCUGGGACGACGGGUACGAGGGGGAGCUCAGCCCUGUGGACCAGAAGCUGAGCGCGCUGCGGUCCCCGCUGGCCCAGAGGCCCUUCUUCGAGGUGCCCACCCCGCUGGGCGACGUUGACCUGUACGAGUACGCGUGUGGCGACGACGACCUGCAGCCCUUGUGAGGCCCUCGCGGCCCGUCCCCAGYGGCCGGGUUUGCCUAACUGUCCUGUUGUGGACACCGAGUGCGUUUGUACGGAGUGAUGAUGUUUAUUUAUUCACCGCGGAGGCUCGUCAAGGGUUAUUGACAGCGCACGCACGUCCCCACCGCCCGAGGGACUGACACUGUCCAAGAACUCCAGGCCACCGGGCCGCGGACGCUUGCCAGGGCCAGCCGCGGGAUGCCCGAGUGCGCACCCUGGACCGCGCCCCUCUCCCGCGCGCCCUGACGCCGCCUGCGCGCUGAGCGCCCCUCCCCCAGCGUGUGGGUCGCGAACAUUCCGCGCGCACCGCGGGUGUGGUCACGCGCACACACGGGCGUGCAAAGACGACUUCAUCUGCUGUGCAGCGCAGCUUACCAUGUUGUACGCGGUCACGUUUGUAUUUUUGAAUAAAGAGUUUAAGGAUUUUCA